CUUCAGUUAGUGACAGGUUAGUACAGUGGUGAACCUAUAGGCCUUCAGUGUGUGACAGGUUAGUACAGUGGUGAACCUAUAGGCCUUCAGUGUGUGACAGGUUAGUACAGUGGUGAACCUAUAGGCCUUCAGUGUGUGACAGGUUAGUACAGUGGUGAACCUAUAGGCCUUCAGUGUGUGACAGGUUAGUACAGUGGUGAACCUAUAGGCCUUCAGUGUGUGACAGGUUAGUACAGUGGUGAACCUAUAGGCCUUCAGUGUGUGACAGGUUAGUACAGUGGUGAACCUAUAGGCCUUCAGUGAGU